UUGAGUAGUAAUACUUAACCUAGAGCGGCGCACGGGUGCGUAACGCGUAUGCAACCUACCUUUUACUGGGGGAUAGCCCGGAGAAAUCUGGAUUAAUACCCCAUGGUACCUAGAGGUCGAAUGAUUUUUAGUUUAAAGAUUUAUCGGUAAGAGAUGGGCAUGCGUCUGAUUAGCUAGUUGGCGGGGUAACGGCCCACCAAGGCGACGAUCAGUAGGGGUUCUGAGAGGAAGGUCCCCCACACUGGCACUGAGAUACGGGCCAGACUCCUACGGGAGGCAGCAGUAGGGAAUAUUGGGCAAUGGUCGCAAGACUGACCCAGCCAUGCCGCGUGCAGGAAGACGGCCCUCUGGGUUGUAAACUGCUUUUAUCUGGGAAGAAAAAGUCCAUGCGUGGAAAAUUGCCGGUACCAGAUGAAUAAGCACCGGCUAACUCCGUGCCAGCAGCCGCGGUAAUACGGAGGGUGCAAGCGUUGUCCGGAUUUAUUGGGUUUAAAGGGUGCGUAGGCGGCUGAAUAAGUCAGCGGUGAAAGACUUCGGCUUAACCGGAGCAGUGCCGUUGAUACUGUUUAGCUUGAGUGUUGGAGGGGUACAUGGAAUUGAUGGUGUAGCGGUGAAAUGCAUAGAUACCAUCAGGAACACCGAUAGCGAAGGCAUUGUACUGGCCAACAACUGACGCUGAGGCACGAAAGUGUGGGGAUCGAACAGGAUUAGAUACCCUGGUAGUCCACACCGUAAACGAUGAUUACUCGCUGUUAUGGUGUAAGCUGUAGCGGCCAAGCGAAAGCGUUAAGUAAUCCACCUG
rnacentral:rRNA from 1 species